GAUGAAGAACGUAGCGAAAUGCGAUAAGUAAUGUGAAUUGCAGAAUUCAGUGAAUCAUCGAGUCUUUGAACGCACAUUGCGCCCCCUGGUAUUCCGGGGGGCAUGCCUGUCCGAGCGUCAUUGCUGCCCUCAAGCACGGCUUGUGUGUUGGGCCCCCGUCCCCGGUUUCCCCCGGGGACGGGCCCGAAAGGCAGCGGCGGCACCGCCUCCGGUCCUCGAGCGUAUGGGGCUUUGUCACCCGCUCUGUAGGCCCGGCCGGCGCCAGCCGACACCCAACUUUAUUUCUAAGGUUGACCUCGGAUCAGGUAGGGAUACCCGCUGAACUUAAGCAUAUCAAUAAGCGGAGGA
rnacentral:misc_RNA from 1 species